rnacentral:lncRNA from 1 species
CUCUUGAGCAUUUAACAACUAUCUGUCAAAGUAAUUGUCAUUUUUGUUUCUUUUCUAUUCAUGGUAUACUGAGUUAUAGUCCAUAGUAUCUCUGUUUUAAAGUUUAUUCAUAUCAGUUCUGGUGGAUUUGCUUUAAUGCAAGAUUCAAGAGUUUACUCCAUACGUUUAUUAAUUGUUGUAUGAUGUUAAUAUAACAACAACUGAAACAAUCUAUAUAAUUCUUAUUUUCUUCAGCAGUUAGUUUACUGAAUUUACUUUACAUUGGCUUAUUAUAAAACAGUCAUUAAAUGUUCUCAAAUUUCUUCUCUAUUAAGCAAAUGUUCAC